GCAAGACGCGAAAAUUGUUAUCAUCCUAUUCUCUAAGAGAUUUUAUUUUGGCCACUUUAAAGUGGCCAUUUU
rnacentral:sRNA from 12 species